rnacentral:rRNA from 1 species
UACGGGGGGAGCAAGCGUUGUUCGGAUUUACUGGGCGUAAAGGGCGCGUAGGCGGCCACUGCAAGUCGGUUGUGAAAUCUCCGGGCUUAACCCGGAAAGGUCAAUCGAUACUGCAGGGCUAGAGUGCGGAAGGGGCAACUGGAAUUCUCGGUGUAGCGGUGAAAUGCGUAGAUAUCGAGAGGAACACCUGCGGCGAAGGCGGGUUGCUGGGCUGACACUGACGCUGAUGCGCGAAAGCUAGGGGAGCGAACGGG